AGGUACCUGGAUCACCUCUGCACUGUCAAAAAUAUUCCAAAAAAACACAUGCAACUAUCACAUCAUGUACUGAAGGUUCCAAGGCAACAGAUUGACAGUAACAGUUGUGGGAUAUAUAAUGCAUUGUUCCUAAAGCAUUUUUUAAUGGAUUUAGACAUAUAUGAAAGUAACCCAAAUCAUUAUGUCAAUGAAAAUCAUCAAUGGUUUACUUGUGAAUACGCUGAAGAAUACAGGAGACAAAUUAAAAGGCAAUGGGAUAUGCAGUUUUUACUCCACACUAAAUUUGGAAAA